rnacentral:ncRNA from 1 species
UUAUGUGUGAGGGAUGGUGCUCCCUCCUAAACGCUGAGUAAAUCAGCUGAUGGCGCCUAUUGUAAA